rnacentral:misc_RNA from 1 species
UUGAACAAGCAUUAAUUUUAAGCCAUGAUAGAAUGUUCUUCUUGAAUAUUUUUAUUAACUACAUUAGUGACCACAUUAAAUAAUAGAUCAAAAUGGGUAGAAGGAAAUAAUUAAUUACUGCAAAUAUUCUUCAAGAUAAUUAAGAAUAUAUAAAUAUAACAAUUCAGCAUACCUCCUGUUGCAGAAGUUCCAGUAACCACUGUCACUUUAUCAGAGAUAUGAACUUGCAGUUGGAGACAGUAUGCCAAAAAACAAAUUUCAUAUACAGACACAGAAAUUCUGUGUGAAAUAAACUCCAAUUUAUUCAUAUUAAAGUACAAAUUUUUAAAAAUUUGAAAAAAAAUGAAAAACCCAUGCAAAAGAUCCCCAACAAAUAAAUCAAUCCCCCCAACCCAUCACUAAAAAAAUAUUUAACAAGGAAAAAAAAAAUCAACCAAAAGAAAUUAAAGACCUAAAAGAUCAAGAAGAGAAGAUGACCCUGAUGUUAAGAAGAUGCUGAUGAUGAGUAUUAGAGGAAGAAAAAUUGACUAGUGAGCCAUGGCAACUGGAGCUUGAUAGUUGAUGCUUCUCUGGUGAGGCAUGGCAAGCAUAGUAGUGUGAUCCAAGAAAUCAUUUAGAGAAAUCACAGACUGUAAUAUUGUUCUUAAAUCAUCUGCACAAGAAAA